rnacentral:rRNA from 1 species
CCUACGGGGGGCUGCAGUGGGGGAUAUUGCACAAUGGAGGAAACUCUGAUGCAGCAACGCCGCGUGAGGGAAGAAGGUCUUCGGAUUGUAAAGCUCUGUUGUUAGGGAAGAACAAGUACGGGAGGAAAUGACCGUACCUUGACGGUACCUAACGAGGAAGCCACGGCUAGCUACGUGCCAGCAGCCGCGGUAAUACGUAGGUGGCAAGCGUUGUCCGGAAUUAUUGGGCGUAGAGCGCGCGCAGGCGGUCUUUUAAGUCUGAUGUGAAGACUUGCGGCUCAACCGCAAGCGGUCAUUGGAAGCUGAGAGUAUGGGGUGCAGAAGAGGUAAGCGGAAUUCCACGUGUAGCGGUGAAAUGCGUAGGAAUGUGGAGGAGCACCAGUGGCGAAGGCGGCUUUCUGUUCUGUAACUGACGCUGGGGCGCGAAAGCGUGUGGAGCAAACAGGAUUAGAUACCCGGGUAGUC